GAGCCUGAACCUUGCUAGACUAUCAAUGCUGUUAAUAGUGUACCCAAAUUGGGGAUAAAAGGAAAUAGGCAGGUGGUAAGGAUUGUGAGCCUACCAGGUACCAGUGUAGUUGAGCAAGUAACACCUGUGCAUGAAUGUGAGUCUCUCUAAACACAUCUAGACACCUCCAGGUGGGGAAUGCGCAAUCCACCACAGCAUUUUUAAGCCAUCCAUCCAACAAAAGCUUUUGGGCAACACUCGGCACCUCUCAACUUCUAGAAAGCAAAGUUUCCUUUAACAUUAUGGAGCAUGACCUCUGAGAUGCUUCGAGUGACGGGACACAGCUCACGAUGUAUCCGAGUUACAUAUUCAGACCUUCGGGCACUGAUUAGUAGCCGUGGGGGUUCAUUGCCUGUUGAAACGUAAUGAGGUGAUUAUGCAUAUGCGGGAAAAACAGGUUGGUGGUAGUGCUGAAGCUAAGUGCCUGUGGGUUCAUAUUAGUUGAAACAGACCAAUAAAAGGAACUCGAGAGCUUGAAAUGCUUCUGAGGGAAGCAUAGUCCUGGUGGAUCUGUUACUCAAAGGCACGUUAUCCAGUGCUUGCUGUGCUCAGGGUUGUCUUCAGUGGAGAGCUGGUCAAGGAGCCUGGCUGUGAAGGUCAGCGAUAGGCAACAACACAAGUGAUGCAGUUCAUUUAGGGGUUGUGCGAGGAGUUAACCAGUUUCUGUACGCCAGGAAAACUUGCUACCAUGUCAAGAUCCUGCAAGGCCCAUCUUCUGUGCAAACAAUUUACCCGUGCGCAGCAAAGCUGUGCAGCAUGGGUGGGAGAUCCAGUCCAGCCUCUGCUCUGUGCUGCUUUAGCACAAAUCUCUGGAGCCAACCUCACCCUAUGACAGUUUUAAAAAAUUCCUACUUCUCCAUCGUCCCUUAACUUGGCAAAGCCUGUCAGGACAUGUAAUUAGUCCUUGGGUUUCAAUUAAGACCAUCAUGGAUAUGACAUUAUUUCUCCUCUUGCCCCUCCCCUUCUGUUGCAGUCUGGAUUUUUUUUUUUUUCCAGCACUACUUCAUAACUCCGCACAAGGUAAAUAGAAGCUGCAACAGCUCAGUAUCUGUGAAAGAUCAGGCCCUGGAGAGUCCCAACGCUCUUGGAGAAUCUAGGUCUCGGGUACAAGCAAACCAGACACCAGAUGGGCUGGUGAGAAGCUGACGUGGCACGAGCAGGCGGAGGAUUUUUCGUAUUCCUUCCUUCUUGCCUUCUCCUAAGACGUGGUGUCGAACCAGCCCAUCGCUCACACAGUGGGGGCUGGCCAGAGGACCUGGGUGUCCCCAGGGAGGGACAGGUCCCCUUUUCCCAAUGGCUUUGCUGCGAUGGCAGGAGGUGGGCUGGUUCCUUGAGCCCCAACACCUCCUUGUGUUUCAGGUGCUGCUUGUUCUGCUGUAGGAACAUAAUACCAUCACAGCCUAAAAAAAAUUACAUAAACCUUCAGCUGUUCACAUGCAUCUGUCAGCGUGGACAUAAAACAGCAGUAUGCAGCAAGCAUUCAAGAGUAAAAAAGACAACUAAGGACCCAGAAGUUAAAAACGGAAGAAAAAAAAAAAGGAAAAGGUACAAAGACGACAGACAGUUACUGUGGAAAAUGAAAAUAAAAAGCUACUGGGGUCUUGCUGCCUUCAGUUAUCGUUUACCCUGUCCACCCAUAGCCCUCUGCCUGAAAAGGGAAAGGAAGAAAAAGAGGAAGAAAAACUGCGACAGGAGGGAAUAAGACCAUGGACAUGUUGGAAGCUGGAAUAUACAUCCUGCAUUACAAAGUGCAAAAUACUACAUGCUCAGAGCCCAAGCAUGAUGUCUGAAACAGUCCACAGCAAGAUGUAAGAGACAAACCCACC